rnacentral:rRNA from 1 species
CCUACGGGAGGCUGCAGUCGAGAAUCAUUCACACUGGGGGAAACCCUGAUGGGGCGACGCCGCGUGGGGGAAUGAAGGUCUUCGGAUUGUAAACCCCUGUCAUGUGGGAGAAAAUUAAAAAGAUAGUACCACAAGAGGAAGAGACGGCGAACGCUGUGCCAGCAGCCGCGGUAAUACAGAGGUCGCAAGCGUUGUUCGGAACCACUGGGCGUAAAGCGUGCGUAGGCUGUUGCGUAAGUCGUGUGUGAAAGGCGCGGGCUAACCCCGCGGACGGCACCUGAUACUUCGAGACUAGACUACUGGAGCGGGAACCGGAAUUCUCGGUGUAGCCGU